UACGGGAGGCAGCAGUGGGGAAUAUUGCGCAAUGGGCGAAAGCCUGACGCAGCGACGCCGUGUGAGGGAUGAAGGCUUUCGGGUCGUAAACCUCUGUCAGAAGGGAAGAACGGGCAUUGGUCUAAUAGGCCUUUGUUUUGACGGUACCUUCAGAGGAAGCACCGGCUAACUCCGUGCCAGCAGCCGCGGUAAUACGGAGGGUGCAAGCGUUAUUCGGAAUUACUGGGCGUAAAGCGCACGUAGGCGGCCUUGUAAGUCAGGGGUGAAAUCCCACGGCUCAACCGUGGAACUGCCUUUGAAACUGCAGGGCUUGAAUCCUGGAGAGGGUGGCGGAAUUCCUGGUGUAGGAGUGAAAUCCGUAGAUAUCAGGAGGAACACCGGUGGCGAAGGCGGCCACCUGGACAGGUAUUGACGCUGAGGUGCGAAAGUGUGGGGAGCAAACAGGAUUAGAUACCCCUGGUAGUCCACCCCNNNAAGGCGAUGAAUACUAGAUGCCGGGC
rnacentral:rRNA from 1 species